UACGUAGGGCGCAAGCGUUAUCCGGAAUUAUUGGGCGUAAAGAGCUCGUAGGCGGUUUGUCGCGUCUGCCGUGAAAGUCCGGGGCUCAACUCCGGAUCUGCGGUGGGUACGGGCAGACUAGAGUGAUGUAGGGGAGACUGGAAUUCCUGGUGUAGCGGUGAAAUGCGCAGAUAUCAGGAGGAACACCGGUGGCGAAGGCGGGUCUCUGGGCCGAUACUGACGCUGAGGAGCGAAAGCGUGGGGAGCGAACAUG
rnacentral:rRNA from 1 species